rnacentral:rRNA from 1 species
UACGUAGGGUGCAAGCGUUGUCCGGAAUUAUUGGGCGUAAAGAGCUCGUAGGCGGCUUGUCGCGUCGGCUGUGAAAACCCGGGGCUCAACCCCGGGCCUGCAGUCGAUACGGGCAGGCUGGAGUCCGGCAGGGGAGACUGGAAUUCCUGGUGUAGCGGUGAAAUGCGCAGAUAUCAGGAGGAACACCGGUGGCGAAGGCGGGUCUCUGGGCCGGAACUGACGCUAAGGAGCGAAAGCGUGGGGAGCGAACAGG